rnacentral:rRNA from 1 species
AAUCUACCCUCGGUUUCGGGAUAGCCCGGGGAAACCCGGAUUAAUACCGAAUGGCCUCUCGAGCUCUUGGGCUUGAGAGAAAAGGUAGCUUCGGCCUCUGACCGAGGAUGAGCCCGCGGCCGAUUAGCUAGUUGGUGGGGUAACGGCCCACCAAGGCGACGAUCGGUAGCUGGUCUGAGAGGACGAUCAGCCACACUGGGACUGAGACACGGCCCAGACUCCUACGGGAGGCAGCAGUGGGGAAUCUUGCGCAAUGGGCGAAAGCCUGACGCAGCGACGCCGCGUGCGG